UUACUUUUUCAGAGGGUGAGGUGGCUCUGAGCACUUUCACAGCCUCUUUCUCUCUCUCUGGGUUGUGCUGGAGGGGAAAAGCCUUACUCUUUCUUGCACGGCAGAACCCACCAGCCCAGAGAGAGAUCAUUUCCCUCUGAUUCAGUUAGAGGAGAAAGGCAGGGAUCUCUCACAAGGUGAGCAGUAGCAGGAUGACUUUUUGAUGUUUCUCUUCCAGGCAAGCCAUGUCUUUUCUCCAUGGCAGAAGGGCACCAGAUCUUCCUGUUAUGUGUUCUUCUUGCCCCAAUGGUGGGGACAUCACAGCCCUCGAGGACAUCGCUGCCCUUGGGGCCAUCAUUGCCCAGCCCAGGAUGGUGUCUGGGCUGCUCCCCCGGGAAAAGGCAGGAACAGGUCAGGAACCAGCAGAACCGGCUGUGUGCUGGGUUCCUGUCUGUGCAGACACGGCAGUCCUACGGCUCUCGCUGGGGUCUCCCCUGUUUCCAGUGCUGUCGAGCAGCUCUCAGAUCUGUGAUAAUUUAAUUAACCUGCCCUGUUCUGCCGCGGCUGUCGGAGCAGGGGAAAAGGAUCCAGGCACCCGGGGAGUUCCUUCUUUGCCUGAGCACAUACGUCUCCUACGCAAAAGUCACAGAAGAGCAAUUUCCCCACCAGGAAAGCUCAUUGUGGGUUUUUUUUAAAAACACAGAUCGUUUUCUUAGAUGUGUGUGUCAACUGCUCAGGGUAAGGAAAGAAGCAGUUUGUUGGAUGGAUGGGGUCCAGUCACGUCGGAGUUCUGCAGGAAGCUGGGGCUGGAGGCACUGAGUGUCCUUAGGUGGGAUUCCCACCUGGAAAACCGAGGGGUUUGCACAAGGGCAAAGGAACUUUGAGAGUUUAAAGCAGAGAGCUCGCUCCAGCCCCGCCACCUCCUCCUGAUAAUGAUGGAAACUGCCUCGGAUGUCUCCUGCCAGCACUGAAAUUAAUACCCUUCUUCAUUGGAAGUGGCAUAUUCAACUACUCCCCAAAAGGUUUUUUGGCCGGUUGGCCUUUAUCAUCCACGGGGAACUGGUCCCUCUGAAGCUGAGUCUUGCCUUGUCUUUGGGCAUCACCCGACGGCGUCGCCUGGAUGAAGCUGAGGAAGCCUGUGACUGCAGUCGGGAGGCAUCUCGAGCUAAUGAAGAUGUUUUCCCCUCUAUCUGCCGUUAUCUGGGCGCCUGGAAGAGCUGCGGAGGAGCUCUCAUCCUGCUCCAGGCAGAGCUGAUGGGAUUUGCACCGGUCCCAGUUGCCAUGGAGAAAGUGUUAGAUGGCUUUAAUACAUCUCUGCGAAUUUCUCCCCGGAGUUUUCCUGUGACAAGCUGGACUGGAGGCGUUUUGGUGAAAUCCCCUGCAAAUCCAGCCGUUCCUCUGGAGGCUGCCCGGGCGCCGGGUUGGGAGGAGGAUUCCGUGGAGUGCUGCGGAGAGGCUGCACGGCAAAACGUGUGCUCCAGCUGA
rnacentral:lncRNA from 1 species